rnacentral:rRNA from 1 species
AACUCAACCUGCUUUGACACCAAAAUAAAUAAAAAUCUUUAUCCUUUAAACAUAAAUUUUAAUUUUAAACAUUAUAGAUUCUAUCAAAUUAAAUUUUUCUUCAACCUAGUACCGAGAGGGAACCUUUAAAUACAUAAAAAGCCAUAAUUUAAAUAUGUACCUUUUGCAUCAUGGCUCAGCAAUUUACCACCUAAAUGGCCCUUCCCGAAACCAAAAUGAGCUGUUCUGUAUUUGUUAAGCACUCAUUAAUUUAUGUUUCAAAAUAAUUAAAAAAAUACUUAUCAGUGGCUACAUACCAAUCGCAUUAGGUUAUAGCUGGUUAUUUAGAAUACCUGUACAAGCAGGAAAAUUAUAUUAAACUAAUAUAAUUUGUCGCAUAUUAGAGGAUAAGCUCUAAUUUCCUUCUUAUAUAAUUUAUAUAGCUCAAAAUAAAAGUAGGCAUCGUAGCUACCAUCUUUAUCAACGCAUAAUAGCUUAAAUUUACUAAACUCGCUUAAAUUUAUUUACUACAUAUAGACUUUCUACUAAAUACAUACUAACCAUCACUUUAUUAAUAUCUUACUCUGCUGAGAUAAGUAAUUAUACAACUAUACUUGUAAAAUAUACAAUUAUUUUUACAAAUCAUAUUCUAUAUUCCCAUAAAUUUACUAAAAGGAACUCGGCAAACCUUAGCUUCGACUGUUUAUCAAAAACACUGCCUCACGAAAAAUAAUGAGAGGUCCAUCCUGCCCAGUGACCUACGGGUUUAACGGCCGCGGUACCCUGACCGUGCUAAGGUAGCGUGAUAAAUCGCCCUUUAAUUGUGGGCUCGUAUGAAAGGACAAACGAAAGCUAUACUGUCUCCUAGUAAAAAAUUGAAAUUGUCAUUCAGGUGAAGAGACCUGACUUCCUUCAAAGGACAAGAAGACCCCGUAGAGCUUAAUAUUACAACCAUUUAUAAAAAUAAAUAUACAUAUAAUAUAUUAUCUCUAUACAUGACACAAUAUUUAGCUGGGGCGGCUAAGGAAAAUAAAUCUUCCAUUUAACUCAUAUAUUUGGCAUUACAUGCCUAACUAAUAAUUGACCCUUUUUAAGAUCAGAGAAUACAGCUACCUCGGGGAUAACAGAUUAAUCCUUCUUGAGAGUUCACAUUGACAGAAGGGAUUGACACCUCGAUGUUGGCUUAGGGUAUCCUAUAGAUCUGCAGCAGUCUAUAAUGGUAGGUUUGUUCAACCUUUAAAACCCUACAUGAGCUGAGUUCAGACCGGCGCAAGCUAGGUCAGCUUCUAUCCUUGAAUUUAUAAUUUCCUAAUUGUACGAAAGGACCCUAGGAAAAAAAUUAUUUUUAUACCUAGAUAUUUAUAACCAAAUACUUAAAUCUAAAUUAUUAACCGCUAUAAUAAAUUGGU